AUGGCUUCCAGUGAGCCGCCGCCAAUCGCCAUGGCUUCCAGUGAGCCGCCGCCGUCCGAGAAGAAAUCCGCUCCCACCACCAUAUGCGCCCUCGGGGACGAUCUUCUGUGCGAGGUGUUCCUCCGCCUGCCCUCCCUCCCGAGCCUCGUCCGAGCCGCCCUCACCUGCCCCGCCUUCCUCCGAGCCGUCCGUUCGUCCCCCGCGUUCCGCCGCCGCUUCCGCGACCUCCAUCCGGCACCUGGGCAUCUUCCUGGACAUCUACAAGCCCACCAUGCCCGCCUUCGUGCCAGUCCGCCGCCGAUCCGACCCGGGCCACGCCGCCGCCAUCCACGGCGCCGACGUAUUCCUCGCCCGCCUCCCCCGACAAUGAAGACGUAG
rnacentral:rRNA from 1 species